rnacentral:rRNA from 1 species
AGGCGAAGACGGGCAGGGGGUGUGAGAGCACGGCCCCCCACAAUGGGACUGAGAGACGGCCCAUACUCCUACGGGAGGCAGCAGCAGGGAAUAUUGCACAAUGGACGGAAGUCUGAUGCAGCGACGCCGCGUGGAUGAUGAAGGCCUUCGGGUUGUAAAAUCCUUUUCGGGGGGAAGAGGAAGGACGGUACCCCCGGAAUAAGCGUCGGCUAACUACGUGCCAGCAGCCGCGGUAAUACGUAGGACGCGAGCGUUAUCCGGAUUUACUGGGCGUAAAGCGUCUGUAGGCGGUUGGGUAAGUUGGGCGUGAAAGCUCCGGGCUUAACCCGGAGAGGCCGUUCAAUACUGCUUGACUAGAGGGCGUGAGAGGGGAGCGGAAUUCCCGGUGUAGCGGUAAAAUGCGCAGAUAUCGGGAGGAACACCAGUGGCGCAGGCGGCUCCCUGGUACGCACCUGACGCUGAGAGACGAAAGCUAGGGGAGCGAACAGGAUUAGAGACCCUGGUAGUCCUAGCCCUAAACGCUGGAUGCUAGGUGUGGGGCCGAAUAGGCUCUGUGCCGCAGCUAACGCGCUAAGCAUCCCGCCUGGGGAGUACGGCCGCAAGGCUAAAACUCAAACGAAUUGACGGGGCCCCGCACAAGCAGCGGAGCGUGUGGUUUAAUUCGAUUUACACGAAGAACCUUACCUGGGUUUGACAUGGAGGUGGUAGGGAAGCGAAAGCGGACCGACUCUUCGGAGAGCCUUCACAGGUGCUGCAUGGCUGUCGUCAGCUCGUGCCGUGAGGUGUCGGGUUAAGUCCCGUAACGAGCGCAACCCUUGCCCUUAGUUACAAGUGUCUAGGGGGACUGCCGGCGGGAAGCCGGAGGAAGGUGGGGAUGAUGUCAAGUCAGCAUGGCCCUUAUGUCCAGGGCUACACACACGCUACAAUGGACGGUACAAAGGGCAGCGAAGCCGCGAGGUGGAGCGAAUCCCAGCAAAGCCGUCCGUAGUACGGAUAGCAGGCUGCAACCCGCCUGCUUGAAGCUGGAGUUGCUAGUAACCGCGCGUCAGCUAUAGUGCGGUGAAUACGUUCCCGGGGCUUGUACACACCGCCCGUCACGUCAUGGGAGUCGGUAACGCCUGAAGCCGGUAGCCUAACGCGCAAGCGAGGGCGCUGUCGAAGGCGGGGCUGGCGACUGGGACGAAGUCGUAACAAGGUAGCGGUACCGGAAGGUGCGGCUG